GACGAACGCUGGCGGCGUGCUUAACACAUGCAAGUCGAACGGGCCUGUCUUCUUUUUUGGGGGUGGGUUGAGUGGCGAACGGGUGAGUAUCACGUGAGUAACCUGCCCUUCGGUCCUGGAUAACCGCUUGAAAGGGCGGCUAAUACGGGGUGGUCCGGUUGGUCCGCAUGGGCUGGUCGGGAUAGAUUCACUGUUUUUGGUGUUUCGGCGGGGGAUGGGCUCGCGGCCUAUCAGCUUGUUGGUGGGGUGAUGGCCUACCAAGGCGGUGACGGGUAGCCGGCCUGAGAGGGUGGGCGGCCACACUGGGGCUGAGAUACGGCCCAGACUCCUGCGGGAGGCAGCAGUGGGGGGUAUUGCACAAUGGGCGGAAGCCUGAUGCAGCGACGUCGCGUGAGGGAUGGAGGCCUUCGGGUUGUGAACCUCUGUUUCCGGUGGUGAAGGCCCUGUCCGUGUGGUGGGGUUGACGAUAGCCGGGGAUGAAGCGCCGGCUAACUACGUG
rnacentral:rRNA from 1 species